rnacentral:rRNA from 1 species
AACGAACGCUGGCGGCGUGCCUAACACAUGCAAGUCGUGCGAGAAAGUUCCUUCGGGAGCGAGUAAAGCGGCGCACGGGUGAGUAACACGUAGGUAACCUGCCCCCCAGUCUGGAACAACUAGAGGAAACUCUAGCUAAUGCCGGAUGAGACCACGAUCCCUUCGGGGUUGCGGCCAAAGAUGGCCUCUACUUGUAAGCUAUCGCUGAGGGAUGGGCCUGCGGCCAUUAGCUUGUUGGUGAGGUAACGGCUCACCAAAGGCUGUGAUGGCUAGCUGGUCUGAGAGGAUGACCAGCCACACUGGGACU